rnacentral:rRNA from 1 species
UCCUACGGGAGGCAGCAGUCGGGAAUAUUGGACAAUGGGCGCAAGCCUGAUCCAGCAAUACCGCGUGUGUGAAGAAGGCCUGCGGGUUGUAAAGCACUUUCAGUGGGGAAGAUAAUGACGUUACCCACAGAAGAAGCACCGGCUAACUCCGUGCCAGCAGCCGCGGUAAUACGGAGGGUGCAAGCGUUAAUCGGAAUUACUGGGCGUAAAGCGUGCGUAGGCGGUUAUUUAAGUCAGAUGUGAAAUCCCCGGGCUCAACCUGGGAACUGCAUCUGAUACUGGGUAACUAGAGUGUGGGAGAGGAGAGUGGAAUUUCCGGUGUAGCGGUGAAAUGCAUAGAGAUCGGAAGGAACAUCAGUGGCGAAGGCGACUCUCUGGACCAACACUGACGCUGAGGUACGAAAGCGUGGGUAGCAAACAGGAUUAGAUACCCUGGUAGUCCACGCCGUAAACGAUGUCAACUAGCCGUCAGGCCCGCUUUAGGGUUUGGUGGUGGAGCUAACGUAU